AUUGGNGNGUACGGGCANNUUGGANNCCUGCUUGGGCAGCGACGACGUGCCAUNNCCNCCUUUUCAGUUGUUGGUCCAAGUGCGUGCUAGUCUUGGCCGGUCUUGGUUUCCUGCGUUGCAUACCUAUUGCGAGGGCAUUCUGUCGGCUGAAAACGUCCCCUUUUCACCUUGCGUCGUGCCUCUAUGGCCACGGUGCGGGGUGAACCUCGAAGCACCCAUCGUGUUCCACUUCCCUUGCGUCAACGCACGUUCGGGUUGUCGGACCACGGUGUCGUGCUCGAUCUCUCGGAUGCGGAAAAUCCAGUGGCCAUGAGGCCCCCGGUCUCUAUUUGUCCCGAAACUAAGCGUUCGCGCUUCGUGCGAGCGACGUCCGUUGCCGUUUUAAUCGAGUCCUUGCGGCUUGGUUCAUGCGGUGCCGGCGUCGGNGAGGAAUG
rnacentral:misc_RNA from 1 species